CCUCACAUAACAUCACUAUAUUAUUUCCUCACAUAUAAUAUAGUGAUAUUAUGUGAGGUAGUAAUAUAGUGAUGUUAUGUGAGG